GAGAGAAUCCUGUGCAUGUUUAAAAGUGUGAAGACAUGGUUUCAUAAAAAGGGUGAAGGUGCUCGUGCUGUCCCUCUGGCAGGCCAUGUCGGCUUCGACAGCAUGCCUGACCAGCUGGUCAACAAGUCUGUCAACCACGGAUUCUGCUUUAACAUCCUCUGUGUUGGUGAGACGGGACUGGGGAAGUCCACCCUGAUGGACACGUUGUUUAACACCAAGUUUGAGGGUGAGCCCACCCAGCACAACCAGCCGGGAGUCACGCUCAAAUCCAACACCUAUGAACUCCAGGAGAGUAAUGUGCGCCUCAAACUCACUGUUGUCAACACCGUGGGCUUCGGAGACCAGAUCAAUAAAGAAGACAGCUACAAGUCCAUUGUGGAGUUUAUUGAUGCCCAGUUUGAAGCAUAUCUACAGGAGGAACUGAAAAUCAAGCGCACGCUACACAGCUACCACGACACCCGCAUCCAUGCAUGCCUGUACUUCAUCGCUCCCACGGGACACUCGCUCAAAUCCCUGGACUUGGUGACCAUGAAGAAACUUGAUAGCAAGGUCAAUAUUAUCCCAAUCAUUGCCAAAUCAGAUGCCAUCUCCAAGAGCGAGCUGGCCAAGUUCAAAAUCAAAAUAACCAGUGAGCUGGUCAGCAACGGAGUGCAGAUCUACCAGUUCCCCACUGAUGACGAGUCUGUGGCAGAGAUCAACUCCACCAUGAAUAGCCAUUUGCCGUUUGCUGUGGUGGGGAGCACAGAGGAAGUGAAGAUUGGGAACAAGAUGGUGAAGGCCCGGCAGUACCCCUGGGGGACGGUGCAGGUGGAAAACGAGAAUCACUGUGACUUUGUCAAACUGCGAGAAAUGCUGAUCAGAGUGAACAUGGAGGACCUGCGAGAGCAGACUCACACACGCCAUUAUGAGCUCUACCGCCGCUGCAAACUGGAGGAGAUGGGCUUUAAGGACACAGACCCUGACAGCAAGCCCUUCAGUCUGCAGGAGACGUAUGAAGCUAAGAGGAACGAGUUCAUGGGUGAGCUGCAGAAGAAAGAAGAAGAAAUGAGGCAAAUGUUUGUCCAAAGAGUCAAAGAGAAGGAAGCCGAGCUUAAAGAAGCAGAGAAAGAGCUGCACGAGAAGUUUGACCGUCUGAAGAAACUCCACCAGGAUGAGAAAAAGAAACUGGAGGAAAAGAAGAAGUCCCUGGACGACGAGCUCAACACGUUCAAACAGAAAAAGACUGCAGCAGAGCUCUUGCAGAACCAAGCUCAGCAGGCAGGGGGCUCUACCACACUCAAGAGGGACAAAGAGAGGAAAAACUGAUGUGACUCCGUGCCUGUUAGAAAAGGAAGAAGACACUUGCACUGAGAAGUUAACUUCUCCCACACUUGCUGCAUGCUGCAUGAGGCACCUUUUCUGCUUAGGAUCCCUGUAGAAAAAGUGCUCCCUUGUGGCCAUCCUGCUGUGAAUGAGUUUCCACCCCAUCAUCCUUUACCGUGCCCCCCUCCCCCACCCUCACCCCAAACUCCCGUAAUUCAACCCUCCACAUGCUUCCCCCCCCCCUGCUCUGUGGAAGACGCUGGGCAUUGCUAUCAGUUUACAUCACCUGUUUAUGCUGAAUGAUGCUUGUCUAUUAUUUGGUUUGUACAAGCAAUUAUUCAGCGUGUCUUUUUAUGCAAAUUGACAAAAAAUGCAUUCCAUAUUUGUUUUAUAUUCAGUGGUUUCUUUGCAUGAUGGAGUGAGCUUUUUUUAAUAUUAACAUACAUGACUACUGUUGUGAUGGGCAGAAAUGUAUUGAGGCUAAAGAGAAACAUGCAUCAGACACUGGGACCUGAGAGUGAAGAAAGAAUUAAAGCCACUGAGGAUUGAUGCGAGGAUGGUUGAAGCUAAUGUUGCAUAACCCUGAUCCAUCUUCAGCUUAGUGAUUUUUAAUUUUACAAACUCAGUGCAACAGCAGCCUAUGGAGUAACUGUAAACAACAGUCAUAAACAUAUUUCUUAGUAGGUAGUAAUUACUUAACAGUUGGCUUGGGGUUGAGCUAGUUUGUUAUUAGUUAAAGGUUAUAAUCCUUAAGAUUUCAGUUGACACCAGUGAUUACCAUGUUAACAGCAAGUGUGGUUUUAUACUACAGCGCUGAGCAGCUACUUUGUCAGAAAUACAACAGCAGAGCGACUGGUGUAGCUGUUUACUGUGUAGCCACACAAACUCAUUGUUUUGGUUUUAAAAAAUGUAAGAAAUCUGUCAGAACUUGGCCUUUUACCAUCAUGUGCAACUACAAUCUGAUUCCAUGCUGCAUACGACGCAAGUAGUUACACCCUGGCGCUAAUCUUAGUGACAGAUACAUUACGUUUGCUGUGAUUGCUUCACAGUAAAAGGCACCACGUUUCAUCAGUUGAAUGCUUUUCAGCGUGAAGCAGCAGCAGCAGGAAAGUGCAAGUAGCAGUAUGGCUCUGACACGGCUUUAUUAGAGGGAACCAUAAACAGUGAGUCUGAUGAGAUAAAUUUACAGUAAUGUUUGAUUAUAUGGUCACAUUAUUUACUGUGAAUACUGUGUGUGUGAAGGCAGUUUGAAAUCUAGCUCAGAAAUGGCGGACCCUGCCGCUAACAAUGAAAACUACAUUUAAAGAGGUAAUUACUGAAUACAUAUACGUUAAAUGGUAGCUGCUGUGAAAAUGAUGACCAUAAAUAGGAUAGCACUCCAUAAAAAUCUUACAUUAAAAGUUCCAUUAAAACAUUAAAAGUUCCACUAGUUAUUACUGCGGCCGUACAAGUUUGGGCUUGAAGUAAAAAAUAGAAACAGAGAUCUCGUUCUCUAUUUUUGGUAUUUAUGUCCCUUUGCUGAUGUUGUUUCACUUUAGCCUGAUGCAUGAGAAGAUGUGAGCCUAAUCUCUUUGCCACUUCUCCCAUACCUCAUUCAUUGUCAUGUGUUUUGUGCAUAUUUGUAUUAGCUUUCACAUUUGCACUUUUUUUUUUUUUACACACACAAAUGUGAUAUUUUUAAGUAUAUAUUAAUGUUGUCAGUGCAAUUGUAACUUUCUUUUUAUUUGACUUAUUAUGAAGGCACAUUUAAAAGUCAUUCCUCGUGAUGUCCAUUGUCCUGCAGGGACCAGUGUUGUUUGUAUCCGUGUUACGCAUAAAAAAUACAAUAUCUCAAAAGAAAAUAAAUAAAGGCCAAUUUCACCAAAUGUUACAA